GACAAACGCUGGCGGCGUGCUUAACACAUGCAAGUCGAACGGUCUCACUUCGGUGAGAUAGUGGCGGACGGGUGAGUAACACGUAGAUAACCUGCCUCGUAGUGGGGAAUAACUAACCGAAAGGUUAGCUAAUACCGCAUAAGUUCUAUAUCGUUAGGUGUAGAGGAAACGCUUUUCGUCAAGAAGGGUGGCUAUGAGAGGGGUCGUGCGGCGGAUUAGCCAGUUGGUGGGGUAACGGCCUACCAAAGCAAUGAUCCGUAGCUGGUCUGAGAGGACGACCAGCCACACUGGGACUGAGACACGGCCCAGACUCCUACGGGAGGCAGCAGUGAGGAAUAUUCCACAAUGGGCGAAAGCCUGAUGGAGCGACGCCGCGUGAA
rnacentral:rRNA from 1 species